GUACUCUGUGAGCGGCGCCCGGGCGCCUGGGCAGGCGCCUCCCGAGUACCGGCGCCCAUUUUGCCCGCCCGCUAAGGAGACCCGUGCGCGGCCUACACGCUUGGGGGACAGCCCUUUAAGACGACAUCUCCGCGAACGCCGGCCUCUUGAGCCAGGGGGACGCUCUUUUGAAAGUCAGUCCCAAAACAGUUAAGGUUUUAUUUUAUUUUGUUUUAUUUCCAAGUCACAGCCCCCGAAUCUCGUACAACUCUCCCUGGACCACUUCCGGUUGCCGGCCCGCGCCUCAUAACUUCGGUUCGAGUGACCUCGGCCCGGGAUGCCCCUCGGCUCACCCCGGGCUCACGUCGCGAUCCUGGCUUGAGUGGCCCAGGGUGGGAGACCUGGAAGUUUUAGCCUAGCUGUUCUCAAGGCGGAUUAAUUAGCCCAAGAAACAUUAUAUUCAUGAGACGAGUUUCCUAAGGGCACGAGUCCAGCAAAUUCAGGUUCCCUUAGGUGACGCAGCUAGGCCAAGUCACCUUCUUACCUCCCAGCUACCUCUCAUGUGGCAACUCUACCCGGAGGAGCGCUACAUGGAUAACAACUCUCGCUUGUGGCAGAUACAGCAUCAUUUAAUGGUCAGGGGAGUACAGGAGCUGUUGCUUAAGCUUUUGCCUGAUGACUAACCUGGUGCUGGGAUUCUACGAAGAUAUGCUCCUUUGUUCUGUUCAGUAUUUGGCAAUCACUUCAUCCACUACUGCAGUGCACCCACCCUUGGGCCUGGGGGGAGGGAGUGGGUUGAAAAACUGCUCAAGAAACAGAAGUUUAGCAAGGGUCAUGAAGAAUACUGCAAGUGAAACUGCAGAGAGAGGUUACGUAGGCAGAAAGCAAGUCAACAAAAGCACUUAGUCAGGAUCCGUAACUUGAAAUUGACUCCUUUGGAAAUUGCCAUAGAACCCUUAAUGGACAUCAUCGGCUGGACCUGGGAUCUGAUGAAUCCCACAAAAGUCAGCACCUUCUACAGAACAGAUGCCCUGAUCACCAAGGACUUGGUACUGAUUUAGAGAGAAGAGAGCAGCUCCUAGCAGCAUCAACAUCUAUUUGUCGCUUAUUUGCCCUGCAGCAAUUCACCUGCCUUUCCUUCUCCCAUCCUGUAAAUAUC
rnacentral:lncRNA from 10 species